UAUCAUUUACUCACUAAUCGAAAGGAUUCAAAAUCAAUAAUUUUUAAUGGUUGAUAUCUGCCGUUUUCUAGUUUAACGGUGUAGAAGUAUUCAAAUCAGAUGAAAUUUUGAUACAAAAUUUUUUAUACUAUCUACAACAAGAGCAAUAUUUAUGAUAAAAAAUUUUAGUCCUAUAUCACCACUUUUUAUAAGAUUUUUAAUUUCAACCGUUAAAAAUUAUUGAUUUUGAACUAUUUCGAUUGCUAGGUAAAUGAUAUCAAAAAGUCGCAAAAAUUAUUUUCUAGAAACUUCAAAUACACUAGAUCAAGUCUAACGGAGUCGAUCGUCAAUUCGGAAAUUCCAUCAUAAAAAACGGCUCAGAAGCACGGAGACCUAAUCCAAACUAGGACUUUUAGAAUACAACGAUUGUUUCAAAGUCUUAACAUGUACAAAGAAAUUUUCUCUAAUUUCCAUUAGUAAUACGGCUUAGGCAUUAACAUCAAAU
rnacentral:lncRNA from 1 species